UGGGGAAUAUUGCACAAUGGGCGCAAGCCUGAUGCAGCCAUGCCGCGUGUAUGAAGAAGGCCUUCGGGUUGUAAAGUACUUUCAGCGGGGAGGAAGGGAGUAAAGUUAAUACCUUUGCUCAUUGACGUUACCCGCAGAAGAAGCACCGGCUAACUCCGUGCCAGCAGCCGCGGUAAUACGGAGGGUGCAAGCGUUAAUCGGAAUUACUGGGCGUAAAGCGCACGCAGGCGGUUUGUUAAGUCAGAUGUGAAAUCCCCGGGCUCAACCUGGGAACUGCAUCUGAUACUGGCAAGCUUGAGUCUCGUAGAGGGGGGUAGAAUUCCAGGUGUAGCGGUGAAAUGCGUAGAGAUCUGGGGGAAUACCGGUGGCGAAGGCGGCCCCCUGGACAAAGACUGACGCUCAGGUGCGAAAGAGUGGGGAGCAAACAGG
rnacentral:rRNA from 1 species